AUGGGGGAGAGGGUCAAGGGAACCGUGAAGUGGUUCAACGUCACCAAGGGGUUCGGCUUCAUCUCCCCGGAGGACGGCAGCGAGGACCUCUUCGUCCACCAGUCCGCCAUCAAGUCCGACGGCUACCGCAGCCUCAACGAGAACGACACCGUCGAGUUCGAGGUCAUCACCGGCGACGACGGUCGCACCAAGGCCUCCGACGUCACCGCACCAGGAGGAGGAGCGCUCUCCGGCGGCUCCCGCCCUGGCGAUGGCGGUGGUGACCGUGGGGGCCGCGGCGGCUACGGUGGCGGUGGCUACGGCGGUGGCGGUGGCGGUGGCGGCUACGGAGGCGGUGGUGGCGGUUACGGCGGUGGCGGUGGCGGCUACGGUGGCGGCGGCGGCGGCCGCGAGUGCUACAAGUGCGGCGAGGAGGGCCACAUCUCCAGGGACUGCCCCCAGGGCGGUGGUGGCCGUGGCGGCGGCGGCGGCGGUGGCGGCUGCUUCUCCUGCGGCGAGUCCGGCCACUUCUCCCGCGAGUGCCCCAACAAGGCCCACUAG
rnacentral:rRNA from 1 species